CAGUCGCCGCGGGAAUACGAAGGGGGCUAGCGUUGUUCGGAAUUACUGGGCGUAAAGCGCACGUAGGCGGAUAUUUAAGUCAGGGGUGAAAUCCCGCAGCUCAACUGCGGAACUGCCUUCGAUACUGGGUAUCUUGAGUAUGGAAGAGGUUAGUGGAAUUGCGAGUGUAGAGGUGAAAUUCGUAGAUAUUCGGAAGAACACCAGUGGCGAAGGCGACAUACUGGAUCAUUACUGACGCUGAGGCUCGAAAGCGUGGGGAGCAAACAGGAUUAGAUACCCGAGUAGUCCCUGUCUCUUAUAC
rnacentral:rRNA from 1 species